rnacentral:rRNA from 1 species
GACGAACGCUGGCGGCGUGCUUAACACAUGCAAGUCGAACGGAAAGGCCCUGCUUUUGUGGGGUGCUCGAGUGGCGAACGGGUGAGUAACACGUGAGUAACCUGCCCUUGACUUUGGGAUAACUUCAGGAAACUGGGGCUAAUACCGGAUAGGAGCUCCUGCUGCAUGGUGGGGGUUGGAAAGUUUCGGCGGUUGGGGAUGGACUCGCGGCUUAUCAGCUGGUUGGUGGGGUAGUGGCUUACCAAGGGUUUGACGGGUAGCCGGCCUGAGAGGGUGACCGGCCACAUUGGGACUGAGAUACGGCCCAGAAUGCUACGGGAGGCAGCAGUGGGGAAUAUUGCACAAUGGGCGGAAGCCUGAUGCAGCAACGCCGCGUGCGGGAUGCCGGCCUUCGGGUUGUAAACCGCUUUCGCCUGUGACGAAGCGUGAGUGACGGUAAUGGGUAAAGAAGCACCGGCUAACUACGUG